rnacentral:tRNA from 1 species
GCUGCCAUAGCUCAGUCGGUAGAGCGCGUCCUUGGUAAGGACGAGGUCGCUGGUUCGAUUCCAGUUGGCAGCA